CGAGCUUCCCAUGGAUGCUGACCUGUGGAGCAGGGUCAGGUAACUUGCACUGUAAGAGGCCUGCUCCUGUGGCUGAGCUGAAUGUGUACAAAGGAAAGUGAAGACAGAAGAAUCAUGGAGAGAGUGCAAGAGUUCUUGAGAUCAGAGAGUUGUAUGCAAGAUAUUUUCUACUCUUCAUUCUACUUAAUCUUCCUGAGAAGCCUUCGGAAGAUCAUCAGCAUUUCCCAACUGGGAAAGCUGAGGCUGACCCUGUGCACCACGGCGUGUGAAUUUACCUGCAGAGUACAUUGGAGAAAACAUUUAUAUUUAAGAAAAUAAGUCUUCCACAAAUACUUCAAAUCAUAUUAUUUCUAAAAAUCAUCAGUAAAAUGGAAAGAAAGGAAUGUUUGCCUAUAAUUGCUUUGGUAGACAGUCAUAGCAAAUGAACCUGAGAAAUGCAAUAUUCUAUCUCCAGAAUUGUUCACUGUCUCAAUUUCCCCUUUGAAAGUAUCAGCGAAGCCACU
rnacentral:lncRNA from 1 species